GUGCGGCUGGAACACCUCCUUUCUAGAGAAAGACGACUGAAUUUGAGGAAUUCAAAAAAAGUGUGUUUUACUUAAGCUGUCCAUUUCAUUUUUAUAUACUAUCAUGUUAGAGUCUCGUAGCUCAGCUGGUUAGAGCGCUACACUGAUAAUGUAGAGGUCGGCAGUUCGAGUCUGCCCGAGACUACUAAUUAAGUGAGAGUUUAUCUUACUUUAAAAUGAUAGAAUAAAAUAAUUGAGAAUUUAGGGUUGAGAAAUUUAUAAACCUUUUCCGUUCUAUUUUUUCAGAAUGGGGGAUUAGCUCAGCUGGCUAGAGCGCCUGCCUUGCACGCAGGAGGUCAUCGGUUCGACUCCGAUAUUCUCCACGAUGGUUAUAAUUAACCAAACGUUCAUUGACAUAUUGAAAUAUUUAAGAUACAUAAAAUAAAAGGUAUAAAUUAUUAGUCGAGCCGAUUAAUAAUUUGUACGAGCAAAGUAAAGAAUACAAUUUUAAGAGAAAGUAA
rnacentral:tRNA from 1 species